GGUGUACGAAUUGCAAAUUGUAUAUAUCAUACUUUGUAGGACAGUUCAAAACGAUUCUGAAAUAUAUGGAAUACCAUGAAUAUUUAAUUUCCACCUCCAGAGAAAACCUGCUGAUAGAUGGCUAUCAAUUUCAAGCAUGUAGGCCUAUUGAUAUAUACAUUAUUUAGAUUAUUUCUAAAAACUGUUUUGUUUUUGCUGUUUUUUUUCUGGGAUUCAGGAGCAUUUUUAUGACCCAAUAUCACAUAGUGGAUUCAUUGAGAUGCGGCUUAGGAAUCUCAGGCGCAAUCUUCAUGAUGAUCAACAUCGGUUUCAGCGCAACCGUAGUCGGCCUACAACAACUAACCCUAGAUCAUCAAUUACAGUGGAGAUGCCUAUAGAAGGGGAGGAGUUGAUAGGUCAGUGUUUCUCCCAGUGCUUUAUAGAUAAGGUGGCUACCUUAACAACACACCCCUGCCACCUUAACUGUACUAAGUUGUUUUCCUCAGACAAUCACCACCUUAACUAAAGCAUUUCCUGUGGGAAACACUGUAGGUGAAUGGAAGAGCAUUAUAAAAAGAAUGAGAGCAUGUCAGGAAAACAUCAGCACCAUCAAAGAAGGCAUGGAAAAAACGUAUAACAACCGAAGACUGUGGAUUACUGCUAGUUCUCCAACAGUGGAGGAAAUCUUUGCAGAGUAUCCUCGCUUUGUGGACAUGCCGUACUUGUUUGAUACAGAAUUUGGGAGGAUCCUUCCUGGUAAAGCUGAUGUCUUCAAUCUAAAAUGGAAAAUGUGGGAGAAAUUAACCAUUACUUUUAUAUUAACUAUGAGUAUUAUCAGGCCUAUAUACAUCAGGCAUAGACAUUAAUGGUGGAAUGUAGAGAAACCACACCUGGACCCAGAGUAAUGGCCUGAUAAGGCACCAAGGACUUUGGGGCCCAGACUACUGACAUCCUCCCAUUUUUAGAUUAACUACAGGAGAUGAGCACAUACGUAAGGGAAUGUAAGGCCAUUUUGAACAUAUACCAGGACGGUCAUAUAUCACAUGCAUGACAGCUCAGUUGGUGUGGAUAAGAGGGACUGGGAUCGGAGCCCCAGUCAGUGUGUCUUUUGCAAAACCACAUGCUCGGCUCUGUUGUACCUAUUUUGUGGGUAACAAUAAAGUCUCUGUCAUUACUUUUUCCGGACUCCCCGAUUUCUAUUGCUCAUAGCUAGUUUAAGUAAAUUAGAUAAGUCGUUAACAAAAAUUGCAACUACAAAAACAACUAUCGUUCCAAAUAUUCUGAAAAUAUCCACAGCGAGUGAACCUUCAGGCCUGCCACCAGUUCCUGCGAAUGACGGUAUGAUGAUUUUCUGUCAAGCUGGUGUCUUACGAAACAACUGACUUGAGUUAAAGAUCUAACCAAAUUGUUCUGUUGCUACAGCGUCUUGCUAUAAAGCGCUUCAAAAGCUCAUCCAGUUGCUGCCUCCAACUUCAUCAGGGAGAGGGAAAGGCUACGGCAAAUGCAGUGUAAAGUCAGCUUUGGCCUACCUCUUGGAUAUAAAGCCGGUAGGUUUGUUUCCUUUGUGUACAUUUAUAUAGGUCUUGUGGAUAUUUUUUUCAAAUGAUUUGGGUGUGCAACGCAGUAUAUCCUGCCCAACUGACAUCUGUGUUUCACUUCUUUGAGCAUGUUUACGAAGUGCCCCUCUCCAGUGCGAAGACAGCUAAGGUUGUGGACCUUAUUUCAAAGAUCCAAGCUAUUAAGUAGCCUAACAAAUAAAUAAUAUGUACGUUUGUCCCAAGUGUAAAACUGAUGUGAAAGAUGUCAGAAAACUCAUCCGCCAUCUUAGAAAUGUACAUGCGCUCUCUGAUGGACAAGAGUAUACAAUUGUUUGCAGUCAGAACUUUUGCCAACGAACAUACCAAAACUUCAACUCCUACGCUAGGCACCUAGGCUAAGAGAAACCAUCCCCAGGGUGUACCUAAUUCUCAAAACACAAAUACAAAUUUUAUUGACAUAUCACUGGACUUUUCACCACUGUGCUCUAAUUCAGUUGAUGGGAAUCAUGAGACUGAUGAGGACCUUUCACUAGACAGCACUUAAAACUAUCAACAACGCGCGGCAGAAUUUGCUGCAAAAAUAUAUUCAUCUUCUAAUUCUAUCCUCAUUGAUGUGCAAAGAAAUAUUACAUGCACUAAAGAGCUACUCAGCAGGGCACUGGAUAGGUUGCAAGAGAAAACUGUAUCGUUACUUAAGUGUCACAUAUACCUUCUAAUGACAUGGCUGUCCAAAGUCUGAUGGGGGAAUUUGAAACGGGGAGGAAUAUGUUUAAAGGAAUAAAUACCAACUAUAAGAUGACUAAAUAUUUUUCAAUUUUGUGAAUAUUUCCAAAACCUUAUCAUGUAAACACCAAAUGCAACAAAUGUUCAACUGGAAAAUGGGUAGCCCUUUGACCGAUGAAUUGACAGUGUCCGACAGCUCUUCAGUUAUGAUUGGUUCUCUUGAAGAACAUUGCACUUUGCUUGAAAAUCUAAAAAUGAUUGGCCGUGAUGUUACUUUAUGCAGCCGAAUUAAUGUUUCCCAAUCAGUUUCUAUGUUUGGCCAAGAUUAUCAGAUUGGUUGUUGUAAAGUUAUUAUAAAUAAACAACUUUGGAUAUUUCUAAGUAGGUGACUUUAUUUUACCAGCCUUCAUGGUUCUCCCGUUACACUUCUUCUGUCGUUCUCAAGUCUAGCUCCAUCUGAUCUAGUAAUCAACACUGCCACCUAGUGGUCAUAACAUAUAACAUAUAUACAGAACAUGCAUAUCAUUACAUCCUCCUUUCUCUGAGGUUAAAAGUCAAAUAAUAGUAGGCCCAAGGCUUUAUCAAGACUAGACCUGGAAGCUACACCUAAACCCAUUAAAGGGCUACCACACCUAAAGCUUUUCUUACAGGUAAACAAGGUAAACAAUUAAUCCCUUCUUUCAGAUAAGAGGUUUUAGAAAGUAACCUUUAACUGUACUAUUUU
ensembl:lncRNA